rnacentral:rRNA from 1 species
UACAGAGGUCUCAAGCGUUGUUCGGAUUCAUUGGGCGUAAAGGGUGCGUAGGCGGCGCGGUAAGUCGGGUGUGAAAUCUCGGGGCUUAACUCCGAAACUGCAUCGAUACUGCCGUGCUUGAGGACUGGAGAGGAGACUGGAAUUACGGUGUAGCGGUGAAAUGCGUAGAUAUCGUAAGGAAGACCAGUGGCGAAGGCGGGUCUCUGGACAGUUCCUGACGCUGAGGCACGAAGGUCAGGGGGAGCAAACGGGG